rnacentral:lncRNA from 1 species
AAAUUCAAUUAAUAGAUAAUUUGUUUUUUGCAUAAAUUUUGCCAAUUUUUUUAAAACAUAGAUUUAUUAAAUUGAAAUAAUUUAUAGUUCAAGAAAUUAUAAUAAUCACAUAUUUUCAAUUGUUUUUGACAGUGAAGAAAAUGAAUUAAUGAAUAGAUCUUAGGACUAUAGUUUGAUUGUCAGUUAAUCCAGAUGUUUAAGAUCACACUCGUUUUCGAAUAAAUUAUGAUAUGAAAUAAAUGAAGGAAAACAAUGAAUAAUUAAAAUUUAACUGGCUAUUCCGUGUGUUUAUAUUAGAUUGUUUUAAAUAUUUCCAAAUCACUGACAUCCACAAAAAUAUCAGAUGACUUGUCUCCCUUUGACUUAGUCUGUUAAACUUCUGGAAUUGUGUGACCACAAAGACAUAGCAUCAGCACUUCAAAUGAGAAAUACCACUUUGUUAUGUGAAGAGGUCAAAGACAAGAUUGGUAGCAAUCAUUCUUUUGAACAGAUGCUCAAGAAUGAGCAUUGAGAGAAGAAUGUUGAAAAAUUAAAUAAAGAAGUGGUUUUAAACCAAGGAUAUGCAUAAGCAAAUGGCUUCAUUCAUUUCAUUAUCACUUUCUUGAGAACUUCUGCAUUAGGUCUUUUGAUUUGAUUUGUUUUUUUUUUUGUAUUUUAUCAAUAUAUAUAUGUAUAUCAAAAGAAAAUAAUAUGCACUGCAAGUCUAGGCCAGAGUUAUUUCUUUUAUAAAGACAUUUUCUCAGAUAUGUUUCAACAGAUUGACUUCAUAUUUAAUUAUUCACGAGCUUAUGACUUGUAAGGUGUGAGCAUUUCCAUGAUCUGUCAUACAACUGUUUCCCGUUUUAUUCUUCUUUACUGAAACUAUUGAAGUUGAUUAAUAUUAAAAAUAAUAUUUACAAUUUUUUACUAUUUAUUAAUGAUUAAAUUCAAUCACUUUUCAUUCAAAUAUGCAAAGGGUGAUGUAUAAAACCAGGCAAUUUAUGCAGAGAAUAUGACAUAAAACAUGUUGACUGGACAUUAUUGUUUUUCUUAAAAAAUGAGGCUUAUUUAUUGAUAUUCUUUACUACGUAUAGCUUUCCCAUUUUCUUCAAUACAAAAAAGGGUAUGUUAUGUGAUUUCAAUGAAAUUUCAAAUGGAAAUAUCCUCAACUAGUGAGUUAUCUCUAAGAACUUUCAAAUAUAGUUUUUAUGAUCAAUUAUUCUUUUUAAGGUGGUAUCUAACACUGCAGGGAGAUAACUCUGUAAUAUAUAGCUAAACGUUUUAAUUACGUUGUGUUGUUAAGGGAAUAUUAAGCUGCCAAUGAUCAAAAUAAUAAAGUGUUUGUCAAACUGCUAUAUAACCAGUGUAUUUUGUUCUGAUAAAACGGUUGGUUCAAAUUUUUGAAUUUUUUAUAUUUUUAAAAAAGGGUCAAAGUAAAUACCUUGUCAAAAUUUUAAGAAAAUUAAAGAGAUAAAUUGAUUUUAGUUAAAGUGUUGGGUACCACCUUAAGCCAAAUUAUAUUUGUAUUUAUUCCCCCAUGAU